rnacentral:lncRNA from 1 species
CACAGAGAAACCCUGUCUCGAAAAAAAAAAAAAUCCAAAACAAAACAAAAAAAGCAUGGCAUUAACAUAUACAUAGCUUAUGUCUCCUUGUAUAGUAUCCCAUCAUUCUAAUCUAUGAAAUUUGUCUAUAACCUGAAGAUGCUGUCUUUCUGCUCAACACCAAAACUAGAUAUUUUCUUGGUGAUAGGAAAAAAAAUGAUUUGGGGAUAAAAAUGCUGUUUUUUUUUUUCCCCCACAUACAUAAACUAUAGCUAACAAAAAACUUCUAACAAAUAAGGCUUUGGCAAUCAUGUGAUGUAAGUUUGCUUUGAUCUCAUUUCUGUUAAAGACAUUAAUAAAACUGAUUCUCACAUUGUAUUGAUUUUUUCUAUUAAAGUAGGUAUGAGCCUAAGGAAGUAGGUCAAACAGAUCUAUUUUUUUAAUCCAAUAUUUUCAAAACCUAACUGAUUUUUGCCCCAUUUAACAGGGAACUUUUUUGUGUGUGAACAAGCACAGGUGAAUUUCCUUCUUUAAAAUAGUUGUUCUUGAUACCUAUAGAGUUAGAAAGGUCCCGGCGUGGGAGCGGCCCGCGCUUCUCUUUAGCUAGAGUCCUUUUGUAGGCUUGGUGAGAAUGAAAACGUUUUUGCUUGGUUGAUAUAACUGAAUGAAAUACUGAGUGAAAAUAUAUCUUGUUGAAGAUUUGGGAAAUUAGGUGUAAGGUUUUGGCCUUCGACAUAGUUCACUAAAGAACAGGUUGGAGGUCCAUUAAGCCCGGGCAGAGCGUCCCUGUGCUCCUUGGCGUUCUGCACAUCUGAUUGCUUUGUAAUAAUAAUCCCUCAGUAAAACCUGUAAUCAGAAACCACCAAUUUCAUAAUUUGUCAGGAAGCUCUUAAAAGCUUUAGUAUUUGCAUCGAAAGAAAAAAGCUGGAGAGGAAAAAAAAAUACAUCUUUUAUAUGAUGUUAUUUUACAGGGGAACUGUGGGCAACGAAAUAGCCUGCUACAAUUUAGGUGUGGUACAGAAAACUAGGGCAACACUUACUUUUAGAAAUAUCAAGUGUUAUUCACUGUUUUAUAAUUAAUUACAUAAUUAUACACCAGAACACAAAGAUCCCCGGAUACCUUAAUAGAAACACUGCACUUCCAAAUAAAAUAACAAUAAUUAUCACCUACUGUAUUCAGAGUACUUUAUUAGCUGUAAAUGUUAACUCCCCAUAUCUGUGUGUAAAUAAACAUCAUUAAGAAUAUUAAUCUUUCCUAUAGUUUAGAAAUAAGAAAACCAAGGCAAAGAAGUUGGUUUGAAUGAUCAAUUAAGCAUCCUGCUUUGAAUGAUUUGGUGAGGCCAGAGUCAUCAAAAACAAUAGGUGUUAACAAAGGACAAAAAUCACUCUUGCUCCCAUUUAUAAAUUACCAGGCAGUCGUUAAUAUUUACAGUAGUCCCUUCUGUUCAAACCCACGUGACUAAACCCAUUUAAAACGUAAAAGCAGUAUCCUGGCGGUCCCGAUAAUUUGAAAUACCCUGGAGGGAUGAACUUAUUUCAGGACACCAUUCUAGGUACCUGAUAGUUACCUGAAGUUGUAGGCAAUUAAAACCAUUGGGUUGUGAUACUGGAGAGCUAUAAUAAGCCGAAAGUCCCCGGGUUCAAGAUAGGGGUAAAUGAAAGUUUACAAGCUACAUCCUGCUGAUAAAGCAAUCUUUUUGAGAUAGUAGCAGUUUGUUAAGGUGUCUGUGAAAGAUACAGAUUGAGGCCAUGCCCCUCCUCCCCAGGGCCCUCAGGGCUUGUCUGUAAGGUCCUAACCACCACAGUGAGCAUGACCACAAGAACAGACAGUGUAGAGCCAAGACAAGCUAAUGCGGACCCUGCAACACUGGAGAAAAACAAGUCAAGGUUAAGCAUAGCCAGAGAAGCAGUAGCCAUAAAGCAGAUAAAGUAAGGAGAUACUCUGACAGAGUGCUUCAGAACGGCAAACUCACUGGGGUGGGGUGUGUGUGUGAGAUUGAUGCCCAUUUGUGGACACCUGAGCUGGAGGAUGGGAGCCAGCCACACUUCAUGUAGGGAGCCAAGUAAGACAAAUAGUGACCUUGUGACGAUCCAAGGCUGCUCCAGCACAGGGCCGUGGAGGAGGAGAAUGAGACAGGCUCUGAAUCUGGCCCUGCCUUGGUGCCCUGGGAUGGUUGCAGCCGAGAGAAAAGCGCUCUGAGGCUUCACCGCAGUGCCUAUGAGCGAGCAGCUGCAGGGCACACACUCAGGCUUGCUACGGGUUUGCUGAACGUGGUUCAUAUGGAAAGGCUCUGUCCUGUGGUAUCCGUUGCCCAUUGGUGGACAGUGCACAGGCACAUUCUACAUUCAUUAGGAAGCGGUGUUUAAAAGAAAGAUUUGAGGUAUGUGUUCUGAAUGCAGUUUGCACCCCAAACUGGAAUUGUCCACUGCUAGGUGAUAGGUAAUUGGGAGAAAAAUUCCCCAGCAUCUCAUUGACCCCUUUAAAGAUAGCUAGAGGUUAGUUGAAAACUAACUAAACUACCAAAGCCGCAUGUUCCUUGUAUACCUGUCUGUGAGAUACUGAGGCCAGAGCUUGCAUUUGACUUGAACUGACAAGAAGCUGUCUAGCAUCAUUAAGGAAUAGAGCUACUGAUACUCGGCCUUUAGAAUCAAAGCAUUUGAAGUAUUCAAGCUUCAGACUUUACU